CCUACGGGAGGCAGCAGUAGGGAAUUUUCGUCAAUGGGCGCAAGCCUGAACGAGCAAUGCCGCGUGAACGAGGAAGGUCUUCGGAUCGGAAAGUUCUGUUGAAGGGGAAAAAGAGCGGAGAGAGGAAAUGCUUUCUGAUUGAUAUUACCCUUCGUGGAAGUCACGGCUAACUCCGUCACAGCAGCCGCGGUAAUACGGAGGAUCCGGGCGUUAUCCGGAUUUAUUGGGUUUAAAGGGUGCGUAGAUGGGUUGGUAAGUCUGGUGUGAAAGUUUUCGGCUCAACCGGUAAAUGGCAAUUGAUACUGGCAGCCUUGAGUACAGUUGAGGGAGGCGGAAUUCGAGGUGUAGCGGUGAAAUGCGUAGAUAUCUCGAAGAACACCGGUGGCGAAGGCGGCCUACUAGACUGCCACUGACGUUGAGGCUCGAAAGUGUGGGUAGCAAACAGGAUUAGAUACCCUAGUAGUC
rnacentral:rRNA from 1 species